AUUGAACGCUGGCGGCAAGCCUAACACAUGCAAGUCGAACGAGUGGCGGACGGGUGAGUAAUGUCUGGGAAACUGCCUGAUGGAGGGGGAUAACUACUGGAAACGGUAGCUAAUACCGCAUACCAUCGGAUGUGCCCAUAUGGGAUUAGCUAGUAGGUGGGGUAAAGGCUCACCUAGGCGACGAUCCCUAGCUGGUCUGAGAGGAUGACCAGCCACACUGGGACUGAGACACGGUCCAGGCUCCUACGGGGGGCAGCAGUGGGGAAUAUUGCACAAUGGGCGCAAUCCUGAUGCAGCAAUGCCGCGUGUGUGAAGAAGGCCUUCGGGUUGUACAGUACGUUCAGCGGGGAGGCGUUACCCGCAGAAGAAGCACCGGCUAACUCCGAGCCAGCAGCCGCGGUAAUUC
rnacentral:rRNA from 1 species